CAAGGUGUGGCGCAGCUUGGUAGCGCAUCUGUUUUGGGAACAGAAGGUCAUAGGUUCAAAUCCUAUCACCUUGA
rnacentral:tRNA from 1 species